rnacentral:lncRNA from 1 species
GUUGGGACUCCAGCUCAUCAAACUCCUUGCAUAAACGAAAUGAUGUCAUUAUCCUGAGUGAGUUUGUCUACGUUCCUUCGAGCAGUGUUCACACUUUGUGUCAUUCACACAUUGAGUUGAUGGCCUGAAAGUGAAAUGGAGUAUUAAAAAGAUGUAAGGGACCCUGGCAAGUAUUUGUGCCGAUGUGGACUAUGAUGGAAUAGGGCUGUCAUGAUCAUGCUUCCCAUUCUUGAUCUGGUGGAUCUAGAGUCCAGUGAACUAGUUAUCAAGGAGAAAGAAAAGCUUAUAAAACACUGUAAAGGGUGGGUGCUGCAACUCUAAUCUUCUGAGGAAAAGUCGUCCAGUCGAAUUUGGCCUUCUGGUUCUUGGGGGAACAGAUCCUUCCUCUUUACCAUCUCCUUCCUCACUUUGAUUUCGUUGGUGCCGUUCAACGCUUCUACUGCUGACGUGGAUGGGAGGAUUAGGAAAAGAGCCUUAUACUUUGAUUUUGCCAAGUAUUGCACAGCUUUC